rnacentral:rRNA from 1 species
AUGGCGGAGCACGACGCGCCCCCCGAGUCCGGCGCCGCGAGGUCCCCGCCUGCCAAGCGCGGCGGCGACGCCCGCUCUCCCCAGCGGGAUGCGCAGCCUCACCAGGAGAGGUCCUCGAGUUCCAGAGACCGAGUCAGGGAGCGCGAUGAGGACAAGGACAGGGAGCGCGAUGAGCACAAGGACAGGGAGCGCCACAGGCGCCGCGGGGAAGAUCGAGAGAGGUACCGGGACAGGGAGAUUGUCCGUGAUCGCGGUGAAGGGAGCAGGGAUCGUGAGCGCCACCAUCGCGAGCACCGUGAUGGGAGCAGGGAUCGUGAGCGCCACCAUCGCGAGCACCGUGAUGGGAUCAGGGAUCGUGAACGCCACCAUCGCGAGCACAGUGAAGGGAGCAGGGAUCGUGAGCGCCACCAUCGCGAGCACCGUGAAGGGAGCAGGGAUCGUGAGCGCCACCAUCGCGAGCACCGUGAUGGGAGCAGGGAUCGUGAGUGCCACCAUCGCGAGCACCGUGAUGGGAGCAGGGAUCGUGAGCGCCACCAUCGCGAGCACCGUGAGAGGAGUGAGAGAAGGGAGCAACGUGACCGUUCCGAUGACCGUGACAACCGCCGGAGCGGUGAUCGUGACGCUGAAAGAAGGGACCGUGAUAGAGAUGGCCACAGAAGGCAUCGCUCCCGCUCCCGUUCGGAGAGUCAGAGCAAACGCAUGAGUGGAUUUGACCAGGGACCAUCAGGAGCCAUUCCUAUACUUGCUCCCACUGCAACCCCAGUUCAGCUACCUGAACUUCCUGCUGCUAAUCCUGGGAUGUUUCCGAACAUGCUCCCAAACUUGGUCAAUGUACCUGCCCUAGGACAGCCACUAGCCAUGACACAACAGGCCACUCGUCAUGCUCGGCGUGUCUAUGUCGGUGGACUUCCUCCAAUCGCUAAUGAACAGACGGUUUCUGUAUUCUUCAAUCAAGUUAUGGCUGCUAUCGGAGGAAACACAUUUGGUCUAGGCCAUGCAGUUGUUAAUGUAUACAUAAACCAUGACAAGAAAUUUGCUUUUGUUGAGAUGAGGUCUGUGGAGGAAGCAAGCAAUGCAAUGGCCUUGGAUGGUAUAAUGUUCGAGGGAGUAGCAGUGAAAGUUAGGAGGCCAACAGACUACAAUCCUUCCCAGGCAGCUGCAUUGGGUCCGAGCCAGCCGAACCCCAACCUCAAUCUCACUGCUGUUGGCUUGACACCUGGAGCAGGUGGAGGUAUAGAAGGCCCUGACCGCAUUUUUGUGGGUGGUCUACCCUACUACUUCACAGAGGCUCAAGUGCGGGAGUUGCUUGAAACUUUUGGACCUCUUCGUGGAUUUGACAUUGUGAAGGAUAAGGAAACUGGCAACUCGAAGGGAUAUGCCUUCUGUUUGUACCAGGAUGUGACUGUCACCGACAUUGCCUGUGCUGCUCUGAACGGUAUCCAGUUGGGUGACAGGACUCUCACAGUCCGGCGAGCAAACCAAGGAGCAGAACCUAGGCCAGAGCAAGACCACAUCCUCCUGCAGGCACAGCAAGAGGCGCAAAUGAAGAGACUCGUGUACGAAGUCGGCGGAGCCCUAGCGACAAAGGUGGUAUGCCUGACCCAGGUGGUUUCAGCAGACGACCUUAGAGACGACGAGGAAUACAAUGACAUACUGGAAGACAUGACGCUAGAAGCACGCAAAUAUGGUAACCUGGUGCAAGCCGUGAUCCCGCGACCCCAUCCCAGCGGUGAUCCUGUUGCCGGAGUUGGCAAGGUGUUUUUGGAGUAUGCCGAUAUGGAGAGCUCGGCCAAGGCGAGGAUUGGGAUGCAUGGGAGGAAGUUCGACGGGAAGGAGACGGUCACCGUGUUCUACCCCGAGAACAAGUUCGCUGAAGGAGACUACGACUAUUAG